CACGUAGGAGGCAAACGUUAUCCGGAUUUACUGGGCGUAAAGCGCGUGUAGGUGGUUCUGUAAGUAGGGCGUGAAAGCUCCUGGCUCAACUGGGAGAGGCCGUUCUAAACUGCAGAACUAGAGGAUGGUAGAGGGAGGUGGAAUUCCAGGUGUAGCGGUGGAAUGCGCAGAUAUCUGGAGGAACACCAGUGGCGAAGGCGGCCUCCUGGACCAUUCCUGACACUCAGACGCGAAAGCUAGGGUAGCAAACGGGAUUAGAUACCCGGGUAGU
rnacentral:rRNA from 1 species